rnacentral:rRNA from 1 species
UACGUAGGGGGCAAGCGUUGUCCGGAUUUAUUGGGCGUAAAGCGCUCGCAGGUGGUUCGAUGCGUCGUGCGUGAAAGACCCCGGCUCAACUGGGGAGGGUCGUGCGAUACUGCUCGACUUGAAGGCAGGAGAGGGAAGUGGAAUUCCCGGUGUAGUGGUGAAAUGCGUAGAUAUCGGGAGGAACACCAGUGGCGAAGGCGACUUCCUGGCCUGUUCUUGACGCUGAGGCGCGAAAGCUAGGGUAGCAAACGGGG